GACGCUGCUGCUACUGGGCAGUUGGAGGCAGUCGCGACCCCUACCAACAACAACGGAGUCACGAAAACUUCAAAUCUAGAAGAAACAACGGAGGUGCUGAGGAGCAACGCUCACAACAAUGAGCGGAUAAAAUACGGCAAGUUGGCACGGUGCGUGACGUAAUUUAUGGACGGCCCCCGAGACCUGCUGCUGUCAGCGAACCUUCGACACUUCACGUGGGCACAAAAGUGCACCUAGUCUGGCACAGGAGCCGUGGCGACGUCACCGUCACUUAGUGGCGAACGGCGGCUGUUGGUAUUGGGGAGCAGACGGAGGCGCGCGCCGUGACGUCAUUUAACUAUAAAACUAUCUAUGACGUCAAAUUCGUAAAGAGGGGCCGUGUUAUGUGGGGGGAGAAGCGAUUAGGCGCGAUGACGUCAUUUUAACAAUAGCCAAAUUGCCGACGUCAGGGCGCGCCUGGAAGUAAAAAUUUGUCAAACGACGAUGGGGGUGGGAUGGAAAGAGACCGGUGACGUGACGUCAUUUAACGGCGGGAAGUUCAAAUUCUUUAAACGGAAUCGGGAUUGUGGUGAACGGAGUUGCACGCCUUUCACGUCAUUUAUUUUAGCGGUGGGAAGUUCAAGUUCGUAAAAAAAAGAGGACCGAGAUCUGAGGGGGCGGGGGCUGAGGAGGAGACGUGCGACAUGACGUCAUUUUAACAAUACAUAAAAAAUCGGUGACGUCACGGCGCGCGGGAAAUUCAAAUUCGUGAAACGGGACCGGG